UACAGAGGUCUCAAGCGUUGUUCGGAUUCAUUGGGCGUAAAGGGUGCGUAGGUGGCGCCGUAAGUCGGGUGUGAAAUUUCGGAGCUUAACUCCGAAACUGCAUUCGAUACUGCGGUGCUUGAGGACUGGAGAGGAGACUGGAAUUCAUGGUGUAGCAGUGGAAAUGCGUAGAGAUCAUGAGGAAGACCAGUGGCGAAGGCGGGUCUCUGGACAGUUCCUGACACUGAGGCACGAAGGCCAGGGGAGCAAACGGG
rnacentral:rRNA from 1 species